rnacentral:misc_RNA from 1 species
AAAAAAAAUUAUAUUUUUAUUUUCUUUGUUACAAACGACUUUAAUUGAAAUUCGAAAUCAAUAUUUCACAGAUUUGGAGAUGACGCAAAUAUCACUGAGUUAAAAUUUUAGAGGUUUUACAGGGUAUUUCAUAAUUUCUUUAUCUUCCUAAGCAAGGUAGAAUAGGUAAAACGACUAAAUCCUAUACCAAAGAAUUGUAGUAGAUAAGCUAAGAUUGCUUAUAAUAAUUAUAAUCUCAAUUUAAAUCUUGUGUUUAUGUGCCCAAGUCAAUGAAAAUGACAUUGCUUUUUCUUAACAAUCACCAUGCAUUUCUUUAAUCCAAAGAGAUAAGUUCUUGAUUGAUCCACUUGAUCUCUUUCUUUAAUCUAAAAAUUGGCAUUUUCCUAUGAAAGAUCCAAGAAAUUGCCAAAUGGAAUCUUGUUCAAUGUGCAUGUGCAUGUCCAGCUUCAAAUAUUAAUAUGUAUAGCAUUAAAUUCAGUGAAAAUUGAGGAAAUAGAUUCAGUUGAAUUCAAUUAACAUGAAAUUAAAAAUUUAAUUGAUAUGAGUUGUGUUUCUUGAAUAAGUUAAAAUGGUUGGUAACUAAUAUGUUUCUUGAAAAUUUUGUUUAAUUAUCCAGGUUCUUGAAUGCUG